UGUACGCUUGUAGCAUGCUUGGAAUAAGUAAAUGCAGAUCCGGAUUUACGACGAAGCGUCUGCCAAGAGCCUUACCCUCCACAAACUCAAAAAUAGACCCUUUUUUUUAAAAUAUAAAAUAUGCGUAUUAAAUAUUUUUUUAAAGGAAAGUGAGAUUAAAAAGUAAGAACUCUAUUUAUAAAUAAAUAUAAAUAUUGUAAUAAACCUGGUAGUGACACAGAUGAGGGUAGUGGUGUGUGUUGACAGCAAAUCGGCCAGGGGAUCAACCUGAGAUUAACUCCAAUUGGUAGCAAGGCUGGAAGGGCUAGUCCUCCCGUACCGCCUGGGCGAGAAACUCUGCUGUUCGACGUAGGGCCUCAUAGCUCUCAUACAUGUCAAGUGACUCUGCAGACACAUUCCCAGCAGCUCUCAGCACAUCUUGCUGCGAACACACGUGCAAGAUGUGCGCCACUGUUUCCACUGACUUUCCACAGUGUCGGCAUCGGACAUCAAAAUUGGGCUGGAACAGGGCAAAAUAUGCUCCAACAGGGCAGUGCCCCGUUCUACACUGCGCAAUUAUCGGCCUUCAGAGCCUCCACCAUGGAUCGUCGCGGUCCGGGUGCCGCAAAUGCUGCCAGACUCCACGGGCUUUGUUGGAGCCAUCCCAGGAUUUCAACCACGUGUCAUGUACCCACACUUGGAUUAAUAUCGUAGCUUGGUUAAACGUACUUGGGACCUCGAAAGUGGGUACGGAUGUUAUCUGCGGCGCCGGGUGCAUCUUCAACCAAAGAGUUGAUACGUGGGAGUGUGAAGCUUUUGUACAGUGUGUUACGUUGUUGCCAAUUGUACAGUAUUGGCUGUGAUUUAUUGUACAUUAAACUAUUACGUUGUUUUGGAGCCCUGAGUUGUCAAGUUCUUUAAGUUGGUGGUUUCGUGUGGAGCAGUUUGCAGAAAGCCUGGAUAGGGAGAAACGUUACAGUAUUUUCAUUUAUAGCACUAGCGGAUCCAUAGCUUUUGAGGUUUUUCAUAAACACGCGCGCGCACACACACACACGAAUAUA